UGAGGCCUGUGGAGUUGGCCGGUUCGAGGUCGGCUGUAACCCUGUAUAUACCUCGUAAGGCAGGGGACUCCUUGAUGCUGUGGGAGAACUGGUGCUCACAGGUAAGGGCCUUUGAAUCAUUGUUGAUGGUCCGUCCUCUGGGGCGGUGCUGGAAGUGAACCGGGCCAGGCCUUGAUAGGAGCAGCCCUAAGUUUUCAGUACUGCGUUCAGAGGGUGGCGGGCCUGAGGUGGUUCGAAGGCUACUGCCUGUAGAGGCUGUCAACUUCAGCAGAACCAGGCCUCA
rnacentral:SRP_RNA from 1 species